GUAACUAUGGUUUAAUAAAAACAUUAGAUUGUGACUCAAAUAACAGAAACUCAAAACUUCUUAUUUACC
rnacentral:tRNA from 1 species